AUGGAGCCCCGUGUUCAUGGAGCCCUGUGUUCAGGCCCUGUGUUCAUGGAGCCCUGUGUUCAGGCCCUGUGUUCAUGGAGCCCUGUGUUCAUGGAGCCCUGUGUUCAUGGAGCCCUGUUUUCAUGGAGCCCUAUGUUCAUGGAGCCCUGUGGUCAGGCCCUGUGUUCAUGGAGUCCUGUGUUCAUGGAGUCCUGUGUUCAUGGAGCCCUGUGUUCAUGGAGCCCUGUGUUCAUGGAGCCCUGUGUUCAGGCCCUGUUUUCAUGGAGCCCUGUUUUCAUGGAGCCCUGUGUUCAUGGAGCCCUGUGUUCAUGGAGCCCUGUGUUCAGGCCCUGUUUUCAUGGAGCCCUGUUUUCAUGGAGCCCUGUUUUCAUGGAGCCCUGUUCAUGGAGCCCUGUGUUCAUGGAGCCCUGUUUUCAUGGAGCCCUGUGUUCAUGGAGCCCUGUGUUCAGGCCCCGUGUUCAUGGAGCCCCGUGUUCAUGGAGCCCCGUGUUCAUGGAGCUCUGUGUUCAUGGAGCCUUGUGUUCAUGGAGCCUUGUGUCCAUGGAGCCCUGUGUUCAUGGAGCCUUGUUUUCAUGGAGCCUUGUUUUCAUGGAGCCCUGUGUUCAUGGAGUCCUGUGUUCAUGGAGCUCUGUGUUCAUGGAGCCUUGUGUUCAUGGAGCCCUGUGUUCAUGGAGCUCUGUGUUCAUGGAGCUCUGUGUUCAUGGAGCCUUGUGUUCAUGGAGCCUUGUGUUCAUGGAGCCCUGUGUUCAUGGAGCCCUGUGUUCAUGGAGCUCUGUGUUCAUGGAGCUCUGUGUUCAUGGAGCUCUGUGUUCAUGGAGCUCUGUGUUCAUGGAGCUCUGUGUUCAUGGAGCUCUGUGUUCAUGGAGCCCUGUGUUCAUGGAGCUCUGUGUUCAUGGAGCCUUGUGUUCAUGGAGCCCUGUGUUCAUGGAGCCCUGUGUUCAUGGAGCCCUGUGUUCAUGUAGCCUUGUGUUCAUGGAGCCCUGUGUUCAUGGAGCUCUGUGUUCAGGCCCUGUGUUCAUGGAGCCCUGUGUUCAUGGAGCGCUGUGUUCAGACCCUGUUUUCAUGGAGCCCUAUGUUCAUGGAGCCCUGUGUUCAUGGAGCCCUGUUUUUCAGGCCCUGUGUUCAAGCCUUGUGUUCAUGGAGCUUUGUGUUCAUGGAGCUCUGUGUUCAUGGAGCUCUGUGUUCAUGGAGCCGUGUGUUCAUGGAGCCCUGUUUUUCAGGCCCUGUGUUCAGGCCCUGUGUUCAUGGACCUCUGUGUUCAGGCCCUGUGUUCAAGCCUUGUGUUCAUGGAGCCCUGUGUUCAUUGGAGUCCUGCUUUGUUUAACUUACACAUUCCUUCAAACGAACAGUGUUUACAUCAGUGUAGCCAGAGAACACCCCUAA
rnacentral:lncRNA from 1 species